GUUUUUAUAGUUGAAAUACAACGAUGGUUUUUCAUAUCAUUGGUCAUGGUUAAACUCCAUGUGGGAACU
rnacentral:tRNA from 1 species